UGCACACGAGCCACUUCACGCUGAACCACUCGCGAGAUAUCUACGUUUGGUACAGAUCAUUGCCGACUAACUAUCCGCAAAUACCGUUUGUUUCGAGAAAUUGUCCUUUCAUUGAAAAGGAUACAUACGAGGAAAUAAACAUUUGUUUUAUUUCACAGCUUUUUGUGUUGGAGUUCAAAUUGUUUCCGUUUUGAACUCUCUCGAGGAGUAUCCCGCGAUACAGAUUUUCCUCCUCUCUUACUGUUGGAUCAGGUCACUUUGACGGUUUGAUCAUGAAGCAGGAAGCCAGCCCUGGGCGGGAGCGUGUGAAGCUCAUCUUUGAUCAGGAAGCUCCAUCCGGUCGCAGUUCCUCUCGCUCCAGCAGCAGCAGCAGCGACAGCUCGUACUCCAGCAGUAGAGGGAGCCGCUCCUCCCGCAGGUCACGGAGCUCAUCCUCUGACAGUGACUCUUCCUCACGCUCACGUUCCCAUUCCCGUUCCCGUUCCCGUUCCCGCUCUCAUCCGCGCUGCUCAGGCCGUUCACGCUGCCGCCACAGGCACCAUUCUCCUCCUCGCCGCUACCGUGCACGCUCUCGCUCCUACAGCCCUACUCCCGAGGGUUCCUCCCAUCGCAGACGCUACCAUCGCCGCAGUCCUUCUCCAUCUCCCUACAGGUACUCCAGACGCUCCAGGCGUUCUUCAUCCCGAUCCCGCUCUCGCAGCCGCUCUCCGGUCUACUGGAGGGGAAGUAGGUUUGUGGGGAGGUACCGGUGCCGUUUCUCCCGCUCACCCAGGAACGUACGAACAUACAGAAGCCGGUCUCGCAGCCGUGAACGCUCUGCCAUCCGCCUCAGCCUUGAGGAGAAGAAGUAUCUCUUGAACGUCGCCAAAGCAAAUGCCUCUCGGAUUCUGGGAGUGCAGAACUUAGAGCUGCCAGCUAGCCUGAAGGAGCUGGAGGAGGAUGAGAAGAGGAGAUCUUCAUCAGAUAAAGAGGAAAGGGUGAGGGCUGACCUGGCACCACAGAAGACACCAGCACAGGUGAGCCUCACACACAAACACAUGACUGCAGAUGUGUUACUAACACACACCUAGUGCUUGUAAGAACUCUUAUGUUGCAUGAACGUCCCGAGCGGUUUACAGAAUUCCAGCUAAUUUCUCCAGUAAGAUUCUCAUCUGUACUUUGUUAUAUCUGAUCUCGGGACAUUGCCUAACCCAUUGAAACGCGUCUGUUUAAAAUGUGAUUGCGCGCUGUACUUGCCCAACCUGGGUCACCAUGUAAUCUGUCUCCUCAGACAUGAAUGAUUUUGCCUGAUGGAUUUAAUGGAAUGAUGAACGGCUCAUGUCCGGAUUAGAGCUGAAACUCCUCCACCCUUUGGACAAAGAGGGAGAGAGGGGGAGGUCACAUGACUUGAAUGACACCAGCUUUAAGUCUUAUAUGCACAACUGCAAAGGUUAAGUAACAGUGUAUGAUGUCAGCGGUAGUCUUGUGUCGAACGAAAAUAGACCACAUGCUUUUGAUUGACCUCACAUAGAGCUAAGCCACUUUCAGCCACCGCACUACAGCACAUACUGUA